rnacentral:rRNA from 1 species
CCUACGGGAGGCAGCAGUGGGGGAUAUUGCACAAUGGGGGAAACCCUGAUGCAGCGACGCCGCGUGUGGGAAGACGGUCCUCUGGAUUGUAAACCACUGUCCCCAGGGACGAAGAUGACGGUACCUUGGGAGGCCGCUCCGGCUAACUACGUGCCAGCAGCCUCGGUCAUACGUAGGGAGCGAGCGUUGUCCGGAAUUACUGGGUGUAAAGGGAGCGUAGGCGGGGAUGCAAGUUGGGUGUCAAAACUACCGGCUCAACUGGUAGUCGCACUCAAAACUGCAGCGCUUGAGUGAAGUAGAGGCAGGCGGAAUUCGUAGUGUAGCGGUGAAAUGCGUAGAUAGUAGGAGGAACACCAGUGGCGAAGGCGGCCUGCUGGGCUUUGACUGACGCUGAGGCUCGAAAGUGUGGGGAGCAAACAGGAUUAGAUACCCCUGUAGUC